CCUACGGGGGGCAGCAGUGAGGAAUAUUGGUCAAUGGACGAGAGUCUGAACCAGCCAAGUAGCGUGAAGGAUGACUGCCCUAUGGGUUGUAAACUUCUUUUAUAUGGGAAUAAAACGUUCCACGUGUGGGAUUUUGUAUGUACCAUAUGAAUAAGGAUCGGCUAACUCCGUGCCAGCAGCCGCGGUAAUACGGAGUAUCCGAGCGUUAUCCGUAUUUAUUGGGUUUAAAGGGAGCGUAGGUGGAUUGUUAAGUCAGUUGUGAAAGUUUGCGGCUCAACCGUAAAAUUGCAGUUGAAACUGGCAGUCUUGAGUACAGUAGAGGUGGGCGGAAGUCGUGGUGUAGCGGUGAAAUGCUUAGAUAUCACGAAGAACUCCGAUUGCGAAGGCAGUUCACUGGACUGCAACUGACACUGAGGCUCGAAAGUGUGGGUAUCAAACAGGAUUAGAUACCCUUGUAGUC
rnacentral:rRNA from 1 species